rnacentral:lncRNA from 1 species
AGCAAUGUUAUCAUUGUACCUCGGCUCAACCUCUACAUUUAAAUUUUUCAAUAAUUUAUUAUUUUUUAAUGAUUUUAAAAAAUCAAAAUUUAAAAUCAUCAGUCAAAAUAAUUGUUAAAUAUACCAUAAAUUUUAUUUUAUUUUUUUUAAAUUCUUCCAUCUUCCAACUCAAGUGAAAUAAAGGAGGAUCUUGCGGGUGAAAC